rnacentral:rRNA from 1 species
AGCGAACGCUGGCGGCAGGCUUAACACAUGCAAGUCGAGCGGGCCCUUCGGGGUCAGCGGCCGACGGGUGAGUAACACGUGGGAACGUACCCUUUGGUUCGGAAUAACGCUGGGAAACUAGCGCUAAUACCGGAUACGCCCUUUUGGGGAAAGGCUUGCUGCCGAAGGAUCGGCCCGCGUCUGAUUAGCUAGUUGGUGGGGUAAUGGCCUACCAAGGCGACGAUCAGUAGCUGGUCUGAGAGGAUGAUCAGCCACACUGGGACUGAGACACGGCCCAGACUCCUACGGGAGGCAGCAGUGGGGAAUAUUGGACAAUGGGCGCAAGCAUGAUCCAGCCAUGCCGCGUGAGUGAUGAAGGCCUUAGGGUUGUAAAGCUCUUUUGUCCGGGACGAUAAUGACGGUACCGGAAGAAUAAGCCCCGGCUAACUUCGUG